GGCAGAUCUACCUGAACAGGGCAUGAAGGAAGAUGCAUGGGCCUUAAUUGAGUCAGGUGUGCAAGAGCAGAGCUGAAACCAAAACCUGCGGGACAGGGUGCCCUUGAGGACCGAGUUGGUGACCCCUGUGAUAGAUAGAUAGAUAGUUUAU